CCCUUAGAUGCUCUGGGCCGCACGCGCGCUACACUGGUCGAUGCAACGAGUUUCUUUCCUUGGCCGACAGGCCUGGGCAAUCUUUGAACAUCGAUCGUGAUCGGGAUAGAUUCUUGUAAUUUUUGAUCUUAAACGAGGAAUUCCUAGUAAACGCAAGUCAUCAGCUUGCAUUGAUUACGUCCCUGCCCUUUGUACACACCGCCCGUCGCACCUACCGAUUGAAUGGUCCGGUGAAAUCUCCGGACUGGCGUGAGUCGGAGCAAUCUGACAAACACCGGAAAGUUGAUUAAACCUUACCAUUUAGAGGAAGGUGAAGUCAUAACA
rnacentral:rRNA from 1 species